rnacentral:lncRNA from 1 species
GGACAAGUACAGUUAAAAAAUCAUCUCAAAACCAUUACUUCAAAGUUCAAAGCUUUAUACAUGGGACAAGCACAAAACAACAACAUUAUUCACCUACCCAAUUGCAGGCUAAUAAGACAUUUUAAUAACAUUCCCACAUUUUGAAUUAUUAAAAUGCAUUACACAAAGUAAAGUAAAACAAAUUAAAAGGGUAUUAGUGUGAAGACUAAUUAAAAUGAUCUUGGCUUAGCAACAAUGGUUGAAUGUUUGAGUAUAUGCAGACUAAACUGUCCUCCUUUCUCAGAAGUGUCAAUCUUUGAUUGUCCAGGUGGAGGCAAAAGCUCGAAAUUCUGAACCAGACGCCCAAUAGUGAUACCAAGGAUAGGCAAGGCAAGAAUAAUUCCGGGGCAACUUCUUCUACCAACACCGAAAGGAAGGUACCUAAAAUCAUUUCCAUUAGCUUCGACAUGAGACUCUUCCUCCAAGAACCGUUCGGGCCUGAAUUCCUCCGGCUUUUUCCAGUGAGCCGGGUUGUUUGCAAGCCACCAUGCAUUGACCAAUAUCUUGCUCUCGGCUGGGAUAUCGAAACCAUUGAGCUUUGCAUCAUGAAGGUUCAUAUGUGGUACGAGGAGUGGGAUCGCCAUUCGUAGACGAAGUGUCUCUUUGAUCACAGCUUGUAGGUAAGGUAGCUUGUGGAGAUCUGGCUCAGUUACUUGGUGUCCUGGUCCAAGAACUCUGUCCAUUUCUUCCCUUACUUUGUUUUGGAUGCCUUGGUGGUUCACUAGCUCAGCAAUUCCCCAUUCAAUUGACCAUAGUGUUGUUUCAAUUGCUGUUUUAAGAAACAUAUUAUUAGAAUAGAAAAUGACAUAAGAACUAUGUAUAAUAUAAAGAUUUAUUUUCCUUCAUAUAUACGUUAAGAAGUGUACAAGGACCCUAUAAGUAAGUACAUACAUCUCAAUGUUUUUCAUUAAAGUUUAGGUUUCAACGAUAUUCUUAAAUAUGUCAUGCUUAUCCAUCUAGGCAUAAUUUCUUUUCUUCUCGUAGAUUCUAUUCUAAUCUAAUCUUAACCGAAAAGUCCAAAACAAUCAAGUAAUCAACAUGUAACUUUAUAGGGAGGCAGUUGCACCAACCAAAUUUGGUGGGCACCAUUUUAUUGGAAGGUAGUAGGUGCACCAAUAAAAUUUGGUGGCCACGAUACGAUAUAUUUGAGUUAUCACUUCAUCAACUUGAUUAUUGUUUUCUAUUGAAUGGUUCAUCAACUUGAUUUUAAAUAGAAUUAGUUUGACUAUAAUGGAUUUGAUCUAAAUAAUUCAUAUUUAAGUAUAUUUUUAUAAAUUAUAUAUUUAAUUGUUUUUACUCAAAGCAAAUCUUAUGACUAGUAUAAUUUUUUCAAUUCGACACAAA